rnacentral:rRNA from 1 species
GGACGAACGCUGGCGGCGUGCUUAACACAUGCAAGUCGAGCGGUAAGGCCCUUUCGGGGGUACACGAGCGGCGAACGGGUGAGUAACACGUGGGUGACCUGCCCUCAGCUCUGGGAUAAGCCUGGGAAACCGGGUCUAAUACUGGAUAUGACUCCAUGACGCAUGUUGUGGGGUGGAAAGCCUUGUGCGGCUGAGGAUGGGCCCGCGGCCUAUCAGCUUGUUGGUGGGGUGANGGCCUACCAAGGCGACGACGGGUAGCCGGCCUGAGAGGGCGACCGGCCACACUGGGACUGAGACACGGCCCAGACUCCUACGGGAGGCAGCAGUGGGGAAUCUUGCGCAAUGGGCGAAAGCCUGACGCAGCGACGCCGCGUGAGGGAUGACGGCC